CACCGACCGGCAGCAAUGGCGAGGACGACCAACGGGUGGGCACGAGGGGUGGUGGCGUUCGCGGCGGUGGCAGUCGCGGUAUCAGCGGGGCGGCGGUACAGUUGGGAUGUGGAGGCGGCGGUCGCGGUGUUCAGGCGCGGGAGGGGUGCGCUGGGGCCCUGGGCGGCACCCGCUCACGUCGCCGCCCACGCGCUCACGCUCGCGCUAUGCCCACCCUACGCCAUCUUCUUCGAGGGCGCCGCUGCGCUCUUCUUCGGGUUCCUCCCUGGCGUUGUUUGCGUCUUCUGCGCCAAAAUCCUUGGCGCGUCGCUCUCCUUCUGGAUCGGCAGGGCAAUUUUCAAAUAUUUUACUUCAGCAAUGGAAUGGUUACAAAGAAAUAAGUACUUCCAUGUUGUGGUUAAAGGUGUUGAGAAGGAUGGCUGGAAAUUUGUGUUACUCGCUAGAUUCUCUCCUCUUCCUUCAUACAUCAUCAACUACGCUCUAUCUGCCACUGAUGUUGAAUUUUUCAGAGAUUUUCUCCUUCCUACAAUUGUUGGCUGUUUACCAAUGAUCCUACAGAAUGUUUCCAUUGUAAGCCUUGCUGAUGCAGCGGUGGCCUCCACUACAGGAUCUAAGAAAUCUCAUAUCUAUUCUUAUUUGUUCCCAAUAUUUGGAAUUGUGUCCAGCAUUCUCAUUUCUUUGAGGAUUAAGCAAUACUCUUCUGCCCUUGCAAUUCCGGAAGAGCUUACAAACCCACCCACUAAUGGAAACAUCAAUGAAGAUACCUCUUCUGAGAAAACUACGAAAAGAAGAUGA
rnacentral:rRNA from 1 species